GAGCAGUCAAACAGCAGGUCGUUUUGUUACGCGUGUGACGUUACGACAAACUGUUGCGCUCAAUCCUGAUAUGCCUAACAGUCAACGAUGGGACCAUGAUACCACGAGCGACAAUGAAGACGUCACCAGAAAUGACGUCAAGCGCGAACAUGAUAACGUCACCAACACUGAUAGUUUUGAUUUUCUAUAAAACUCGCCACGGAUGAAGUCGAUUUUGGUUCCACGUUUUUAUGGCGACCAUCGACAAAGCUGCUCUUGGGCGACCUUUUGUGCAUUUUUAGGCAACUUGAGACAAAGUCCUGAACAUUAAAGUUUUUUUACUUAUGUAUAUGGCGGCCUAGUGUUGCCAUACAGAUUUUAAAAGAAAUUGGGCAAAAGAAGAUAAAUUUGGCAACACUUGGCCACCAUGUUUUUUUUUAAUAAAAUGCUCGCUAUUUUGAAUUAUGCUGCUCUUUCUAUCGUGUCUUAAACGCUGCUAUGCCGCUGAUAAAAGUUCGUUUUUAUUCGCUAGAAUCUUUGAGUUUUAGAAUCAUUUUCCUUUUAAUUAGUGGUUAAAGUAUCACAUUAUACUUUUUCGUUUUGGGUUCGUUUUUUUACAACGUCCUAUUUUUUGCGUAUCUGUGUGAGCGAAACGGUUUCAUUUCAUAAAGCAAUUUCUUUUCAAUUAUCUGGUUUAUCAAACAAAAGAACAUAGUGUUAUAUUAUGCUCAGUGUGGUAAGCCCGUGGUAUACCAUACAAGGCAUACAUAGUGCAGAACAGAUUGUAGAAGCCGAAGACUUGAACGACGAAAAAGCGAAAAUAUUCGGGUAUAUGCUACAGCUACAGUAUCAUCGUACUACAGAGACUUCACAACUUGAAGAAACUAGAUUCGUAACCUGUUAUGCCGUGUCAAAAUAACACGUACGGCUACAUAUUCUGUAGUGAUUACUAAAUGAACUGGUUGUUUUUUUGCUGAUUGGUCAGAUUGCUCACGUGACUGACGCCUCGCAUCAGCUGAUUAUCCCCGCGUUGAUUACUUCGCGCCUAAAGCGUCUCUUCUACAAAGCGACCACUUCGACACUUCCCAGUUUAAAUGAAAUUGGUUCCACACCAGGUUACAAGAUUGAAGGUGAAGGUUUCAAGAAUACUUUAUGCAAGAUUUGAGUUAAGUUAUUGCUAGCUGAGAUAUUAAAGAUACCAGCAAUGAAGAAGAACAACCAACCAAACCAUGCGAAGUAAAAUCCAUAACCGAACACUCCUCCUCCGUUAAUAACGGUGGGCGCAGCAAACACUGUGUAUGCGAUGAUACCGCCGAGCAUUGUCAGACCUAAAAAAAUGCAAAGGCAAGAAAGAGCUUAAAGCCUUGAAAGAUACCAGAGACGAUAAAGAGUGACCGGGCAGCCACGAAACUAGGUUCACCAUUCCAACCUGUAAGAAACAUUAGCAUUAAUGAAUGAAUGUAACCAUAAUCUUGACAAAACGACCGUUGUUAUAUAACAUGGGUGUUUCUGUUAUACAUGGCUUGCAACUUGGACAAUUCAUUAGUGAUUACUGAGUUAGAGCAACUGCAUGUGAGUGUUUUGUCCAAGGACACAUACGCCCACAAUAGUAGCAAGGACAAGCCUUGAAUCCGGGCAAACCUUGAAUCAGUCGUUUUCAUUCGUACUAUAUAUUGAUAUCAUGGUUACGGAUCUGUAAGAAAAGAUGGAUGGGUGGUUUCAUCAAGGCCCACCGCUGCCAACACCACUGCGUUGAACGUGUGUGUCCUUGUUUGUUCAAAUUACCAGCCAUAUACAUAAAAAACAAUGGCAGUAGGGUGGGGGGAAUGGGACACUUUUUCAUUCAAUUUUCUGGUUCCAUUUAGUAAGUAAUCAGAAAGAAUGGAAUGACAAAAAUGCAUUCUUGAUUCAUCAACACAUAAGCUAUGUGUAGACCUACGUUUUGGCAAACCUACGUUUCAUUUUAUUGCUAGACAUCCUAGUUACCAACAGUAAAACACAUCUCCCGGUAACCACAAGCACAGUGUUGGUCACUUAAAUGUUUAUAACACAAUCCUGUCACAGAUAUCCAUUGUAAUAAGUUGAUUGUAAAAUCGCAUUGGUGGAACAUGUGAGAAUUAUAUAACCGAAGCUCCGUGACUCUAAAGAGGCAUUAUUAUUGUUUUAGGAAAUUUGGAUUAAGGUGCUAACGUUUAUACAAGUAACAACGGUCAACGGGAUUCGUUUAGAACGGAUUUUAUAAUUCUUUGAAUGUUCUUUGUUUACUGGCAAAUGGGAUGAGGAAAUAGAA